rnacentral:lncRNA from 1 species
AUACACUUCAUAAAAUCAUUUAGUCUAUGUGCUCAUCACAUUUCUACACUUUCCUUGCUCUUGAUUCCCUUUGCUCAGUUCAGAUGAGUUCUGUUCGGACACCACGAUGUAUCACUGACCGGCACUCUAAAAAAGAUUUAAGUGCAAACAGCACAUACAGAUAAAAGUUUUGUAACACUUACUAGAACUACCUUGUGAUGGCUACAUCGCUUCAUCAUGAUGCCUCUCGAGCCUAGGUGUUUGUCAAACACCUUUGUUUGAAAUUACAUCUAGUCCAUGUGCAAACUUGUU